rnacentral:rRNA from 1 species
GAGUUUGAUCGUGGCUCAGGAUGAACGCUAGCGACGUGCCUAAGGUAUGCAAGUCGAACGGGCAGGGGCAACCCUGCUAGUGGCGAACGGUCGCGUAACACGUAGACAACCUGCCUCCGAGUGGGGGACAACAGCGGGAAACUGCUGCUAAUACCGCAUGUGGUCCACGGUGGCAUCACCGUGGUACUAAAGGCGCAAGUCGCUCGGAGAUGGGUCUGCGGCCUAUCAGGUAGUUGGUGGGGUAACGGCCUACCAAGCCGACGACGGGUAGCUGGUCUGAGAGGAUGAUCAGCCGGACGGGGACUGAGACACGGCCCAGACUCCUACGGGAGGCAGCAGUGGGGAAUAUUGGACAAUGGGGGCAACCCUGAUCCAGCAAUGCCGCGUGAGUGAUGAAGGCCUUAGGGUUGUAAAGCUCUUUUGCCGGGGACGAUGAUGACGGUACCCGGAGAAUAAGCCCCGGCUAA